AACGCAUAUUGCGCUCUCUGGUAUUCCGGAGAGCAUGCUUGUUUGAGUAUCAGUAACCACCUCAAGUCUCUUUUUGUGAUCAUAUAUUUUGAUCGUAUAAAUAUAAAGACUUGGAUUUGAGUGAUCCCAACAGUUUUAAAUUUUAUAAAAUUGGCAGGCCACUUGAAAUGCAGGUGCAGCUGAACAAUCAUCUGAGCUAAAAGCAUAUUUAUUUAGUCCUUCCUAUUUUUUUCGGUUGGAUUAUUACUUUUGCUGCAGCUAAUAUAAAGGACGAUUGCUCUGGCUUGACUGAUGCAGGAAAUUAUCAGCGGAAGUGCAUUUAUGCGCGGAAACUGUGAAUCUCGAUCUCAAAUCAAGUAAGACUACCCGCUGAACUUAA
rnacentral:misc_RNA from 1 species